rnacentral:snRNA from 1 species
AUGCUUGCUUCAGCAGCAUAUAUACUAAAAUCAGAACGAUACAGAGAAGAUUAGUAUGACCC